UGGGAACGUGCAUGUACACGGUGACGCCAGAUGAGGUCUGCAUCAUAGACAGACACCCGCAGCACGCUAAUGUGAUUUUCGCCGCUGGAUUCUCCGGUACUGGGUUCAAGCUGGCUCCGGUACUAGGGAAAGUGCUGGCGGAGAUGGUGUUGGGAUGCAAGACCUCCUACGAUACGACUCCAUUCAGCAUGCGGAGAUUCCAGGCGAAGUCACGGCUAUAAACAACGCGCUCGACCAGAAUGUGAUAUACUGAUUACUGAUUAAUGAUAAAUCAGUGGUGAUCGUCUUAACAAUCAUGUUAUUUUUAUUUUAAUUAGUAAGAUCUAUUACUAAUCCCUAUUUAUAAGUAACUGUAGUAAAGGUGUAAUGUUAAAGUUGAGGAAUUUUCAGCGAGAUGCAAUUUUUCGAGUAUACACUAACAGGGAUGUAAUCACGCGCCGACAUAACGCCUGUAGCUGUGUCGAUAGAUGUACGGCUAAGUAGGCAUGUACGCUAAGUAUAUGUAUACGCCGGAUGCGCGGCGGCAGCAUGUUUAUUAUGUAAAAUGUUCCCUGAUGGCGAUAGGAAAUACAGACAGCGUACGCACGUCUAUGAUUAAUAAUAAAAGAUACACGCCGGGAUUCCAUAGCA